rnacentral:rRNA from 1 species
AACGAGUUAACUGAACCUUCGGGGAACGUUAACGGCGUCGAGCGGCGGACGGGUGAGUAAUGCCUAGGAAAUUGCCCUGAUGUGGGGGAUAACCAUUGGAAACGAUGGCUAAUACCGCAUGAUGCCUACGGGCCAAAGAGGGGGACCUUCGGGCCUCUCGCGUCAGGAUAUGCCUAGGUGGGAUUAGCUAGUUGGUGAGGUAAGGGCUCACCAAGGCGACGAUCCCUAGCUGGUCUGAGAGGAUGAUCAGCCACACUGGAACUGAGACACGGUCCAGACUCCUACGGGAGGCAGCAGUGGGGAAUAUUGCACAAUGGGCGCAAGCCUGAUGCAGCCAUGCCGCGUGUGUGAAGAAGGCCUUCGGGUUGUAAAGCACUUUCAGUCGUGAGGAAGGUUGUGUCGUUAAUAGCUUAUUUAUUUGACGUUAGCGACAGAAGAAGCACCGGCUAACUCCGUGCCAGCAGCCGCGGUAAUACGGAGGGUGCGAGCGUUAAUCGGAAUUACUGGGCGUAAAGCGCAUGCAGGUGGUUUGUUAAGUCAGAUGUGAAAGCCCGGGGCUCAACCUCGGAAUAGCAUUUGAAACUGGCAGACUAGAGUACUGUAGAGGGGGGUAGAAUUUCAGGUGUAGCGGUGAAAUGCGUAGAGAUCUGAAGGAAUACCGGUGGCGAAGGCGGCCCCCUGGACAGAUACUGACACUCAGAUGCGAAAGCGUGGGGAGCAAACAGGAUUAGAUACCCUGGUAGUCCACGCCGUAAACGAUGUCUACUUGGAGGUUGUGGCCUUGAGCCGUGGCUUUCGGAGCUAACGCGUUAAGUAGACCGCCUGGGGAGUACGGUCGCAAGAUUAAAACUCAAAUGAAUUGACGGGGGCCCGCACAAGCGGUGGAGCAUGUGGUUUAAUUCGAUGCAACGCGAAGAACCUUACCUACUCUUGACAUCCAGAGAACUUUUCAGAGAUGAAUUGGUGCCUUCGGGAACUCUGAGACAGGUGCUGCAUGGCUGUCGUCAGCUCGUGUUGUGAAAUGUUGGGUUAAGUCCCGCAACGAGCGCAACCCUUAUCCUUGUUUGCCAGCGAGUAAUGUCGGGAACUCCAGGGAGACUGCCGGUGAUAAACCGGAGGAAGGUGGGGACGACGUCAAGUCAUCAUGGCCCUUACGAGUAGGGCUACACACGUGCUACAAUGGCGCAUACAGAGGGCGGCCAACUUGCGAAAGUGAGCGAAUCCCAAAAAGUGCGUCGUAGUCCGGAUUGGAGUCUGCAACUCGACUCCAUGAAGUCGGAAUCGCUAGUAAUCGUGGAUCAGAAUGCCACGGUGAAUACGUUCCCGGGCCUUGUACACACCGCCCGUCACACCAUGGGAGUGGGCUGCAAAAGAAGUAGGUAGUUUAACCUUCGGGGG